rnacentral:rRNA from 1 species
AUUGAACGCUGGCGGCAGGCCUAACACAUGCAAGUCGAGCGAGCGGCGGACGGGUGAGUAAUGUAUGGGGACUGCCCGAUAGAGGGGGAUAACUACUGGAAACGGUGGCUAAUACCGCAUACUAUCGGAUAACCCAUAUGGGAUUAGCUAGUAGGUGGGGUAAAGGCUCACCUAGGCGACGAUCUCUAGCUGGUCUGAGAGGCUGAUCAGCCACACUGGGACGGGAAAACGGCCAAAAUUCCUACGGAGGCAGCAGUGGGGAAUAUUGCACAAUGGGCGCAAGCCUGAUGAAGCCAGGCCGCGUGUAUGAAGAAGGCCUUAGGGUUGUAAAGUACUUUCAGCGGGGAGGCGUUACCCGAAGAAGAAGCACCGGCUAACUCCGUGCCAGCAGCCGCGGUAAUUG